CGCGUAGGCGGUCAGCACAAGUCAGUUGUGAAAUCUCCGGGCUUAACUCGGAAAGGUCAACUGAUACUGUGCGACUAGAGUGCAGAAGGGGCAACUGGAAUUCUCGGUGUAGCGGUGAAAUGCGUAGAUAUCGAGAGGAACACCUGCGGCGAAGGCGGGUUGCUGGGCUGACACUGACGCUGAUGCGCAAAGCGAGGGAGCGAA
rnacentral:rRNA from 1 species